rnacentral:SRP_RNA from 1 species
GCUGGGCGUGGUGGCUCAUGCCUGUAAUCCCAGCAAUUUGGGAGGCUGAGACGGGUGGAUCACCUGAGGUCAGGAGUUCCAGACCAGCCUGGCCAACAUGGUGAAACCCCAUCUCUA